GGUCUGGGCUCGUCUCUGUAGGUGGGUGCGGGAGAGGCGCGGGCACCGAGACGACGAGCCCCGCCGGCGACCCGGGUGUGCGGAAGGUUGUGGACCAGUCGUCCUCGACACCCUUCGUUGAAGGCCGGGGUAAAGAAGCUCUUACUCCCCGGAUAGCCCAGCAGGCCUGAUAGUCGCCAUGGUAACCAUCUUGGAGUCGUGAAUUACAUCACUUUCCUGUCUUUCCUUCCUUCCCCACCCCCUCCAACUGUGCAACUGCGGCGGAGGGAGCAUUGGAAAGAGGGAGUGGCAGAAAGGGCGGGAAUGGUAAAGAAAACAUCUUUAGCAUCCCUCUGGCCCAAAACUGGAAAGCUGUGUAAUCUGAAUUUGCAUUAUAAAUAUUCUCUUAACAGGCA